GGGCAAUGGGCGCAGCUGAUGCAGCAAUGCCGCGUGAGUGAUGAAGGCCUUCGGGUUGUAAACGCUCUUUUACCCGGACGAUAAUGACGGUACCUGGAGAAUAAGCCCCGGCUAACUCCGUGCCAGCAGCCGCGGUAAUAAAUACG
rnacentral:rRNA from 1 species